rnacentral:rRNA from 1 species
GACAGGGGUCUCGAGCGUUAAUCGGAAUCACUGGGCUUAAAGGGUGCGUAGGCGGACCAGUAGCGUCCUGUGAAAUCCCAUGGCUCAACCAUGGAAUUGCAGGGCGAACUGCUGGUCUUGAGGAGCUAGAGGCUGGCAGAACGAUUGGUGGAGCGGUGGAAUGCGUAGAUAUCAAUCGGAAUGCCGAAAGUGAAGACGAGCCAGCUGGGGCUUUCCUGACGCUGAGGCACGAAAGCGUGGGUAGCAAACCGGG